UACGAAGGGGGCUAGCGUUGUUCGGAUUUACUGGGCGUAAAGCGCACGUAGGCGGAUCGAUCAGUCAGGGGUGAAAUCCCAGGGCUCAACCCUGGAACUGCCUUUGAUACUGUCGAUCUGGAGUAUGGAAGAGGUGAGUGGAAUUCCGAGUGUAGAGGUGAAAUUCGUAGAUAUUCGCAAGAACACCAGUGGCGAAGGCGGCUCACUGGCCCGGUACUGACGCUGAGGCGCGAAAGCCAGGGGAGCAAAGCGGGG
rnacentral:rRNA from 1 species